GACGAACGCUGGCGGCGUGCUUAACACAUGCAAGUCGAGCGGUAAGGCCCUUUCGGGGGUACGACGAGCGGCGAACGGGUGAGUAACACGUGGGUGACCUGCCCUCAGCUCUGGGAUAAGCCUGGGAAACCGGGUCUAAUACCGGAUAUGACUCCAUGACGCAUGUUGUGGGGUGGGAAGCCUUGUGCGGCUGAGGAUGGGCCCGCGGCCUAUCAGCUUGUUGGUGGGGUGAUGGCCUACCAAGGCGACGACGGGUAGCCGGCCUGAGAGGGCGACCGGCCACACUGGGACUGAGACACGGCCCAGACUCCUACGGGAGGCAGCAGUGGGGAAUCUUGCGCAAUGGGCGAAAGCCUGACGCAGCGACGCCGCGUGA
rnacentral:rRNA from 1 species